CGGGAAACCGGAGCUAAUACCGGAUAAGAUAUCGAACCGCAUGGUUCGAUAGUGAAAGAUGGUUUUGCUAUCACUUAUAGAUGGACCCGCGCCGUAUUAGCUAGUUGGUGAGGUAACGGCUCACCAAGGCAACGAUACGUAGCCGACCUGAGAGGGUGAUCGGCCACACUGGAACUGAGACACGGUCCAGACUCCUACGGGAGGCAGCAGCC
rnacentral:rRNA from 1 species